rnacentral:rRNA from 1 species
GUGGGUAGCGGUGAAAUUCCAAUCGAGCCCGGAGAUAGCUGGUUCUCCCCGAAAUAGCUUUAGGGCUAGCCUCAAGGUGAGAGAUACGGAGGUAGAGCACUGAAUGUCCUAGGGGGUAUUGCACCUACCGAAGACUAUCAAACUCCGAAUGCCGUCAUCUUAUACUUGGGAGUCAGACUGUGGGUGAUAAGAUUCAUAGUCGAAAGGGCAACAGCCCAGAUCGUCAGCUAAGGUCCCUAAAUGUAAGUUAAGUGCUAAAGGAUGUGGGAUUGCACAGACAACCAGGAUGUUGGCUUAGAAGCAGCCACUCAUUCAAAGAGUGCGUAAUAGCUCACUGGUCGAGUGAUCCUGCGCCGAAGAUUUCCGGGGCUAAAACUUACUACCGAAGCUACGGCAUCAGUAAUGAUGGGUAGGGGAGCUUCCCAUACGGGUUGAAGCAUGACCGUAAGGACAUGUGGACAGUAUGGGAGUGAGAAUGUUGGCAUGAGUAGCGAGAUGUGGGUGGGAAUCCCACAGGCCGUAAACCCAAGGUUUCCAGGGGAAGGUUCGUCCACCCUGGGUUAGUCGGGACCUAAGCUGAGGCCGAAAGGCGUAGGUGAUGGACAACAGGUUGAUAUUCCUGUACUACCGAUAACCGUUUGAGAGAAGGGAUGACACAGUAGGAUAAGCUAAGCACACUGUUGGUUAUGUGUGCCCAAGCAUUGAGGCAGUCAAAGUAGGCAAAUCCGCUUUGAUAAUGCUGGGAUGUGAUGGGGAGCGAAAUUUAGUAGCGAAGUAGCUGAUUUCACACUGUCAAGAAAAGUCUCUAUCGAGGUUAAAGGUACCCGUACCGCAAACCGACACAGGUGGGUGAGG